rnacentral:lncRNA from 1 species
AGAGUUUGCUGUUUGGCUGUCACUCUGGAUGUGGCUACAGGAACAUCUAGCACUUUCAGUCCAACUCUCUGAAAGUGCUCACCCUGAAAACCAUACCCUGACUGUCCCACAGCAUCCCAAAGAGGUGGUGUUGGUGGCCAGAGAAUCAGACCAUGGCCUGGUCUCAACUAUGAAGCACGCGACUCCGGACUAUUUAACGAUAGCCAGCAUGGAAACACUGCACAUAGAGCUUGCCACAGUUAAUCUCCAUUGUCCUUUGGAUUUGGAUCGCCUAGAUUAGUAAAACACACUUGUGAGUGUGUCUGGGUGUUUCUGUGGGGCUGACGCCAGAGAAAAAUGGCAAUGGGCCAGGAACCAAGGGCGUGGGGAGACCGCUCUGAAUGGGGCACUGCCCGGUAGGCAUGUAACUCACGUGGAACGAAAAUGGGAGAAGGAGGAGGCCAGCGGAAGCUUGCAGGCUCACUUCAGUAGGAGUGGGUGCAUCUUUGGCUGCCACCGACUGUGGACAUCAGGCUCCAGCUCUUCCACUUUCUGACACAGGCUCCAGGGACCUUCCAGGACUGUAGCCUCACACUAGGCCAGCAUCCUUCGUCCCUUUGUUAGGUGUCUUCCGGUUUCCAGCUUCUUGGACAGAGUGGCUACCAGACCCUUGGGGUCUCCAGCAUGAAGAUGGCACUGUGUACUCUCCC